rnacentral:rRNA from 1 species
AUUGAAAGCUGGCGGCAGGCUUAACACAUGCAAGUCGAGCGGGGUGAUGGUGCUUGCACUAUCACUUAGCGGCGGACGGGUGAGUAAUGCUUAGGAAUCUGCCUAUUAGUGGGGGUCAACAUCUCGAAAGGGAUGCUAAUACCGCAUACGUCCUACGGGAGAAAGCAGGGGAUCGCUUGUGACCUUGCGCUAAUAGAUGAGCCUAAGUCGGAUUAGCUAGUUGGUGGGGUAAAGGCCUACCAAGGCGACGAUCUGUAGCGGGUCUGAGAGGAUGAUCCGCCACACUGGGACUGAGACACGGCCCAGACUCCUACGGGAGGCAGCAGUGGGGAAUAUUGGACAAUGGGGGGAACCCUGAUCCAGCCAUGCCGCGUGUGUGAAGAAGGCCUUAUGGUUGUAAAGCACUUUAAGCGAGGAGGAGGCCCUUUUGGUUAAUACCCAAGAUGAGUGGACGUUACUCGCAGAAUAAGCACCGGCUAACUCUGUGCCAGCCGCCGCCGUAA